rnacentral:tRNA from 1 species
GCUCUAGUAGCUUAAAUUUAUCUAAAGCGUCGUUCUUGUAAACCGAAGUUGGGUCUCCCCUUGAGCA